GGAGCAGGGCAAUCUGGUUAUCUGGAAUCAGUAGUAACUAGGUCAACAGAAGGCAGUUAGAGAACUUCAAAGAAUUUCACUUUCCCAGAACUUGUUUUCUCUUCCAAAGGAGCAACUUCAAUGAAAUCCAGACAUACAUCAAAUUUUACUAGGAAGCGACUGUGAGGGAGCAAGAGUGAUGCGAAACAACACAGAGCAUUUCUCUUCAAGGCAUUCUUCCAGGGAGGUCUGCGUUCCUGUUUUUUAAGCAUUAUGGGUAGUGCUCAGGAAUUGAAGUGGGCGCUGCUGUCACCAUUUCUGAAGAAAAAGAGAUUUGAACUGUAUUCUGAAGACAAUGGAAGGGAACAGUGGAGACAGGUGGUUAAAUCAAGUCAUACUGGAUCAGUAUCUCAAAAGAGGCAAGUCUGUGAGACAUAACGCCUGAAACAAAUACAGAGCACCUGGAACAUACUCGGGACCCAGUAAGUGUUCUCGGAAUCAAAAUUAUUUCUAUACCAAUUACUUGGAUUUCCAAGUUAGUUAGGCUUAGCUCUAUGUUAUUUUGCCUAUUAUAUCACAUGUCACAGGAAAUUUUUCAGCCUUGUUUUAGUGGUCUGAUUUUGAAAUUCAUUGUCCUAAUAAAAUAAACACAAUUUAACAAGGGCUACGUAUGUGCUCUGCAGAGUAUCACAACCCUUAUAAAAAUCCAGUAAUCUGUUAUUUACAAAUUAAAAAAAAGAGACUCAGUGAUGUAAAAGAAAUAUACCUGUGUUGUGCACUUAGUAAGUUGUGCAGCCAGGUUUCAAAGCCUGG
rnacentral:lncRNA from 1 species